GACACGCUGGCAGUGGUAGGAGUAACUUGCCGGAGCAUAUAUGCCGGUUGCGUUAAAAGUUGCCUGGAUUGAAUUAUUGAAAAUAAUCUCGACUCGCUGCAGACUAAACCAGCUCUGGAAGUACAACUUGUUGUAACUGACAUUAAACAUUUCAUCAGAGAUGUGUUUCAAGUUCACUACAAAGGAACCUACUUCAUCUUCUGAAAUGUCAGAAAACUUGACCACUCAGUUAACAGACUACAAUCGCCCUAAGGGCCUCCUCCAGCAAAGCAGUCAACUUACGUGGCACUUUCUUCACUGCAAUUUGAGUUGUUAAUGUCCACUGUCGCCUUCUGGCCAAAAGCUUCAUCGAUAAACCUAGUUUCCUCACAUAUCCAUACCUGUGUGAUUGGUAUUGUUGUGAAAUUCUGGAUUGGAU